CGGAGGCUUGAUGCUGGGGAGGAGCUCCCUGUGUUCAUUUUCCACUGAGAUAAUCCAGCAAUUCUGAUAACAGCUAUUCAACCUGGCUUUAUCCUACCUCCUGGAUAGUCAUGGAUAAAAUCAUCUCAGAUUAAGGACCUGCCUGCCAUCUCCAGAUCAGCUAUCUUUUAAAGAAAGGAGUUAAGGAAGGG